rnacentral:misc_RNA from 1 species
AUCGUACACGGCACUCUCGUCCGGUGCAAACGCAGCGAUCUCAGAAUUGUGCUCCGAAGAGGAGGUCUUUUUCACAACACGGCUCCCAAUGGCAGUCCCGGUAAACGUUGCCUCUGCUUGUGCCGAUCAAGUGCAUUACAAGAGGACAGGCCAUGCAGUUCUAUUAAUAAAUAUCUAGCUGGUAUUAACACCAUGGCAAGGUGAGCCAAUAUUUAUAUGUCGGAGAUGUAGGGACAUCGGGCCUUUCUUUUGGGAAGAUCCCCAAUACUUGGGUUCGAGGAGACACAACUGGUUGCCACGGUCACAGGAUGAACAUUUUACCUAACAGAAGAAUAGAAGUAUUGAGGGACACGCUGUAUUAACAAACAAGCCCCGGCCAGGAGCAAUGUCGGCUCUACGCGGGUCUGCCUAGUAACGGCGCCCGCAAUUUUAUUGAUUAUCCCUCAUCAAUAUGUAAUUGAGAAAUAUGAUCGUAUCACGUUUUUUUUCUUAUGAUCACCUUGGAGAGUUUACUGAUAUCAUCUUGUGAGUCAAUCAGAAAGUAAAGGAGCGUCUCAACUAACGUCACUUUGUGCUACAAAAUAUAUGCUAUUCUACAAAGAGUGUACCCGUUGACCGUGGAUUCGUUAUUGAACCCAAGAGCAUUGUCAAUAGUUUUCAUUAAACUUGUUAAUUAUUACGCGCCCAAAAUUCUAACGAAAACCUGACAUUUAUAUAAUAGUAUACUCGUAAUUAAACUUCUCAAAUCAAACUACCGUAUUAUUAGAUUAACUGUUUUAAGUAUAAUCAAAAUAAUACUGUUACUAUUUAGCCUAAUGUUGCUGCAUUCUUCUACAAAUUUUUUCAAAUAAUAAACUUAUUUAAUGUUAGGGACUGCAAACCUGGCCUUGUCGGUGAUAACGAAAUUUAUCGUCUUUCACCUUGUCAAGGUAAGAUUAAUAAUAUAAAUAACUAAUUUAUAUUUACAAUCCGCAAAUCCUCCUACUGUUUUUCCGAUUUCAACCAUUACCACUCCUUUAUACCUAGCCAAGGACUACCAUUUUAUUUAGAUAUCACACUUUCUAACUCAGAUUAAUCAUUAAAUUAUUCUAAAUUUGUGGACGAUGUAUAGUAGAAUAUAGAUUAUAGAUUAUUCUUUAUUUAGUUAAUUUUAGUCUUACAUAUGAUUUGUUUCAUUAUUUUAUCUCUUA